rnacentral:rRNA from 1 species
CAGUAGCCACGGUAAUACGAAGGGGGCUAGCGUUGUUCGGAUUAACUGGGCGUAAAGGGCGCGUAGGCGGGUUUUUAAGUCAGAGGUGAAAUCCCAAGGCUCAACCUUGGAACUGCCUUUGAUACUGGAAGUCUUGAGUCCGGGAGAGGUGAGUGGAACUGCGAGUGUAGAGGUGAAAUUCGUAGAUAUUCGCAAGAACACCAGUGGCGAAGGCGGCUCACUGGCCCGGUACCGACGCUGAGGCGCGAAAGCGUGGGGAGCAAACAGGAUUAGAUACCCCUGUAGUCCCUGUCUCUUAUAC